CCUACGGGUGGCUGCAGUGAGGAAUAUUGGUCAAUGGACGCAAUCCUGAACCAGCUAAGCCGCGUGCAGGAAGACGGCCCUAUGAGUUGUAAACCUCUUUUGUCGGAGAACAAAAGCAGGGACGUGUACCUGGCUGAAUGUAUCCGACGAAACAGGAUCGGCUAACUCCGUGCCAGCAGCCGCGGUAAUCCGGAGGAUGCGAGCGUUAUCCGGAUUUAUUGGGUUAAAGGGGUGCGUAGGGGGUGCGUUAAGUCAGCGGUAAAAUUGCGGGGCUCAACCCCGUCGAGCCGUUGAACCUGGCAGACUUGAGGUUGCGAGAAGUACGCGGAAUGUGCGGUGUAGCGGUGAAAUGCAUAGAGAUCGCGCAGAACUCCGAUUGCGAAGGCAGCGUACCG
rnacentral:rRNA from 1 species